rnacentral:rRNA from 1 species
GCAAGUCGAGGGGCAGCAAUCACUUCGGUGAGUUGGCGACCGGCGCACGGGUGCGUAACGCGUAUGCAACCUACCCUGUACAGGAGGAUAGCCCGAGGAAACUCGGAUUAAUACUCCAUAAUGUUAAGAAGAGGCAUCUCUUUUUAAUUAAAGAUUUAUUGGUACAGGAUGGGCAUGCGUCUGAUUAGUUAGUUGGUGAGGUAACGGCUCACCAAGACGAUGAUCAGUAGGGGUUCUGAGAGGAUGAUC